rnacentral:misc_RNA from 1 species
GACCAUGGAUUUACUCAGAACUUAUGGGUUUUAAAAAAGGCUUUAAAAGGAAAUAACUAAAAAACUUUUCCAGUAAUUUAAGAUGAUACCGGGGAAGGUUUUCCGGUUUAUCCCGGAGGGCUUGUAGCUCAGUUGGUUAGAGCGCGCGCUUGAUAAGCGUGAGGUCGGAGGUUCAAGUCCUCCCAGGCCCACCAAUUUAUGCUCGUUUUUUGCUUAUCCAAGAGUAUAAAGCUUAAGCGUAUUAAAGCCUCUUCAAUCUUUGUUUAUUUUUAAAGAUUUUAUUUUAUCAUUCAGAGAUUGUUUGUUAAAUUUAUCCCAUUAAGCUUCCAAAGAGGCUUUGUCCCUUCAGUGGUACAGAUAAAUUUACAUGAUACAAAUCAAAACAGGACAGGUAAUUCAAGUUGAUGAAUUUGGUUAUGGUUGAUUUGAGAGAGCAUUAUUUAGGGGCCGUAGCUCAGCUGGGAGAGCACCUGCUUUGCAAGCAGGGGGCCCUCCGUUCAAUUAAUUUAAAAAAUUUAAA